UCUAAUUUGGCAGAGAAGUGCAGUGGAUUUAAGCUCCCCUAAUAAAGCUUAAGCUUUACUUAGAA
rnacentral:tRNA from 1 species